AGCGAACGCUGGCGGCAGGCCUAACACAUGCAAGUCGAACGAACCCUUCGGGGUUAGUGGCGGACGGGUGAGUAACACGUGGGAACGUGCCUUUAGGUUCGGAAUAACUCAGGGAAACUAGUGCUAAUACCGAAUGUGCCCUUCGGGGGAAAGAUUUAUCGCCUUUAGAGCGGCCCGCGUCUGAUUAGCUAGUUGGUGAGGUAAUGGCUCACCAAGGCUACGAUCAGUAGCUGGUCUGAGAGGAUGACCAGCCACAUUGGGACUGAGACACGGCCCAAACUCCUACGGGAGGCAGCAGUGGGGAAUCUUGCGCAAUGGGCGAAAGCCUGACACAGCCAUGCCGCGUGGAUGAUGAAGGUCUUAGGAUUGUAAAAUCCUUUCACCGGUGAAGAUAAUGACUGUAGCCGGAGAAGAAGCCCCGGCUAACUUCGUGCCAGCCGCCGCGGUAACAC
rnacentral:rRNA from 1 species